UCCGUAUUCAGCCGCGUAAUGAAUCCGAGCCAACUCCCAGACCUGCCUUCUGAUUGGCUCUGGUCAUUUUUAAAGACACGUGAAGUUUUUAUUUUAUCUAUCUUUUCAAUUUUGAUGUUAAAAAACCCGAAUCGUCGAUCAAAUGAGCUUGAGAAAAAUUGCCAUGGUUUUUACAAUAAAUUACAGAUUCCGGAAAUGAAGGUGUUCAUUCCUUCCUUAUUUACAAACCAUUUUGUGUGGUGCAGUACCUGUGGAGGUUUAAGAACCCAAAUCAACAAUGGCAGACAAACCAGAUGUGAGUGAGAUCGCUCAGUUUGACAUGACUAAACUGAAGAAGGCUGAAACUGAGGAGAAGAACACUCUACCUACCAAAGAGGUCAUUGACCAGGAGAAGCAGGUGGAAUCCUAAAAUGGCUGCUGUCAUUACUCACAAGCUACAUCCCAGAGGGACUGUUUCUCAAACCUGAACUCUCCAUUCUGGAAUGGAUCCUCAUGGCUGCCUAAGUCACUGACUCAAA